GUGCUUACCUGGUAGGGAAGAUACCAUGAUCAUGAAGGUGGUUUUCCCAGGGCAGCUUAUGCAUUGCACUGUUAGGUUAUUGCUCUUGUGGAAGUCUCCUUCAUAGUCAGGUCAUCCCUCUUCUGGAAGUUUCUUUGGGGUUAU
rnacentral:snRNA from 1 species